CCUACGGGAGGCAGCAGUAGGGAAUAUUGGGCAAUGGGCGCAAGCCUGACCCAGCCAUGCCGCGUGCAGGAAGACGGCCCUCUGGGUUGUAAACUGCUUUUGGGAGGGGACAAAAAGCCAAUGCGUUGGAAAUUGAGUGUACCUCCAGAAUAAGCACCGGCUAACUCCGUGCCAGCAGCCGCGGUAAUACGGAGGGUGCAAGCGUUGUCCGGAUUUAUUGGGUUUAAAGGGUGCGUAGGCGGCCUAAUAAGUCGGAGGUGAAACCCACAGGCUUAACCUGUGGAGUGCCUUCGAUACUGUUAGGCUUGGGUUAUCUCUAGGCGGGCGGAAUGGAAGGUGUAGCGGUGAAAUGCAUAGAUAUCUACCAGAACGCCGAUAGCGAAGGCAGCUCGCUGGGGAUAUACCGACGCUGAGGCACGAUAGCGUGGGGAUCAAACAGGAUUAGAUACCCCUGUAGUC
rnacentral:rRNA from 1 species